AACCUGAGCGAUAGCUCCAGGACGCUUUCGACACCGGCGCAUCAGCCAUAAUUGCAUCGCCCGCGUCGUCACGGUUUCAGUCCUUCCGGUUUCCUGGGGUUGUUGUUUGAUGGGUUGUUCGAUGACUCCGCCAUUGGAUUGGGAAGAAAGAAGAGAAUUAAUGUCUCGCUGAAAUCCUUCAUUAGCCAGGCUGAGCACGAUCCUAUUGGAACAGUUUGAAGUUUACGUCAUGUGGACCUCGUUAGGAGUGAUGAAAGCGGGCAAUUUCAGCUGCAGCCAGAUGUCCCUAGGGAACCAUUCCCAGCUCAGAAUGGCUGUCCUCACUGAAUCACAAGUUAAAGGUGACCACAAAUCUGCUUUCUGGCACUGUAAGUUAGUCUGCAUCUUCUAAAAGUUCAUAUAAAUAGAAUCACAUGGUAUGUACGCUCUCUUUUAUGGCUUCUUUCACCCAGAAUAAUUAUUUUGACAUUUAUCCAUAU